rnacentral:rRNA from 1 species
UACGUAGGGGGCAAGCGUUGUUCGGAAUUACUGGGCGUAAAGGGCUCGUAGGCGGCCAACUAAGUCAUACGUGAAAUCCCUCGGCUUAACCGGGGAACUGCGUCUGAUACUGGAUGGCUUGAGUUCGGGAGAGGGAUGCGGAAUUCCAGGUGUAGCGGUGAAAUGCGUAGAUAUCUGGAGGAACACCGGUGGCGAAGGCGGCAUCCUGGACCGAUACUGACGCUGAGGAGCGAAAGCCAGGGGAGCAAACGGG